CUCCCUGUCUCUUUCUGCGCUCUCCCAUCACUUCUUUGGGAUGCGGGUUACGCAGCAUCACCGGCAUCGCCAGAGUACACCUUUAGAAGAAGGAGGCCUUUCAGAUUUCCAGGCUGUCGGAGCGAUAACGGGACGGUGGGAUUAAAACUGUAACAGUUAUAUAAUAUUAAUAAAAAAAACGGACUGAUUUCUUCAUGGAGAUCAUGAAGUGAAACGGGAUUGUUUUUUUCUCCCCUCUUUCUUUUACCGGAUGUAUUUUUUUUCUUUUACCUCUGCUGACUGCUGCCUCGCGGAGCAGGAGAUGUUUGGAUCGUCCGAGGAAGAACAGAUUUCACAGGACGACUGUUGAUCUUAAGGGUGACGCAUUUUAUCUGUCCGUCCAUCUGUCCUGAAGAGUCUCGGUGAAGGUGCGGAGGAGAACACAGAGUUAUAUACGCUUCUCUUGGGGAGGAAUUUUGCCUUUUUUUUUUUUUGUCGUUCUUUCUCGCACGCACCAAAGUAAAGGAAAUUUGAUUUGAAACCUUAAAGACGACGCAGCGAAGAACAGCGAGCAACAUCUCAGCCCUGCAGAAUCCAAACCCUAGCUGGGUGUGCAUUCACACACACCUGUACAAGAGCACGAGCUACAUGUGGACGUGAGAUGAUGAGUAGCUAAGUGACUACCGCAAACACCCCUGAUCAGACAGCCUCCUGUGCUGCAAGAUGGAUUAAAGCCCCACACCUCAGGAGAUCAAAGGCUGACUUCUAACAAAGGAACAGCAGCUGUUGUGAAUUCCCCAGGUGCCUCCUUUGCUACAACACCACUUCAGAGGAUCUCAAGGGGAAAUGUUUCUAGUA